rnacentral:rRNA from 1 species
CCUACGGGCGGCUGCAGUGGGGAAUAUUGCACAAUGGGCGCAAGCCUGAUGCAGCCAUGCCGCGUGUGUGAAGAAGGCCUUCGGGUUGUAAAGCACUUUCAGCGGGGAGGAAGGCGGUGUGGUUAAUAACCUCAUCGAUUGACGUUACCCGCAGAAGAAGCACCGGCUAACUCCGUGCCAGCAGCCGCGGUAAUACGGAGGGUACAAGCGUUAAUCGGAAUUACUGGGCGUAAAGCGCACGCAGGCGGUCUGUCAAGUCGGAUGUGAAAUCCCCGGGCUCAACCUGGGAACUGCAUUCGAAACUGGCAGGCUAGAGUCUUGUAGAGGGGGGUAGAAUUCCAGGUGUAGCGGUGAAAUGCGUAGAGAUCUGGAGGAAUACCGGUGGCGAAGGCGGCCCCCUGGACAAAGACUGACGCUCAGGUGCGAAAGCGUGGGGAGCAAACAGGAGUAGAUACCCCUGUAGUC